rnacentral:tRNA from 1 species
CUGUCUAUAGCUCAAUGGAUAGAGCAUUAGCUUGCGGAGCUAAAGGUUAUAAGUUCGAAUCUUAUUAGACAGGCCA